GGGGAUUUAGCUCAGUGGUAUAAGCACCUGCCUUGUGAGCAGGCUGUCGUGAGUUCAAUCCCUG
rfam:Cavia porcellus supercont2_5 genomic scaffold, whole genome shotgun sequence.